rnacentral:rRNA from 4 species
AAAGAAAGCGUAAUAGCUCACUGGUCGAGUCGGCCUGCGCGGAAGAUGUAACGGGGCUAAACCAUGCACCGAAGCUGCGGCAGCGACACUCAGGUGUUGUUGGGUAGGGGAGCGUUCUGUAAGCCUGCGAAGGUGGCCUGUGAGGGUUGCUGGAGGUAUCAGAAGUGCGAAUGCUGACAUAAGUAACGAUAAAGCGGGUGAAAAGCCCGCUCGCCGGAAGACCAA